GACUCUUAGUGGUGGAUCACCCCGCUCGUAUGUCAAUGAAGAACGCAGCUAGCUGCGAGGAUUAAUGUGAAUUGCAGGACACAUUGAUCGACAGUUUGAACGCACUUGCGGGCCAGGGUUCCUCACGGGGCUACACCUGUCUGAGUAUCG
rnacentral:rRNA from 1 species